ACUCAAAUGAAUAGACGGGGGCCCGCACAAGCAGUGGAGUAUGUGGUUUAAUUCGAAGCAACGCGAAGAACCUUACCAGGGCUUGACAUACCUCUGACGUGCCUAGAGAUAGGCAUUCCCUUCGGGGCAGAGGAUACAGGUGGUGCAUGGUUGUCGUCAGCUCGUGUCGUGAGAUGUUGGGUUAAGUCCCGCAACGAGCGCAACCCCUGUUGUUAGUUGCCAUCAUUAAGUUGGGCACUCUAACGAGACUGCCGGUGACAAAUCGGAGGAAGGUGGGGACGACGUCAAAUCAUCAUGCCCCUUAUGUCCUGGGCUACACACGUACUACAAUGGCUACUACAGAGGGAAGCAAGACCGUAAGGUGGAGCAAAUCCCCAAAAGUAGCCCCAGUUCAGAUUGUGGGCUGCAACUCGCCCACAUGAAGUCGGAAUUGCUAGUAAUUGCAGGUCAGCAUACUGCAGUGAAUACGUUCCCGGGCCUUGUACACACCGCCCGU
rnacentral:rRNA from 1 species